CCGCGCGAAGGUAGCGUAAUCACUUGUUUUUUAAAUAAAGACUAGUAUGAACGGCCGCACGAGGACCUAACUGUCUCCUUUGUCCAAUCAGUGAAACUGAUCUCCUCGUGCAGAAGCGAGGAUUUUACCAUAAGACGAGAAGACCCUAUGGAGCUUUAAACUUUUAUUAAUUAUUCUMUUCAYCCCUCCAAGGARCUAACAWCUAAUUUAAUYUUYUUAUAAAAGUUUUKGGUUGGGGCGACCAUGGAGAAAAAAAAUUCCUCCYUGAUGAUACCUAACUAAGAGCCACAGCUCCAAGUAUUAAGACACUUAACUCCCAUUGACCCAUUUUAUGAUCAACGAACCAAGUUACCCUAGGGAUAACAGCGCAAUCCAUUUCAAGAGUCCYUAUCGACAAAUGGGUU
rnacentral:rRNA from 1 species